rnacentral:rRNA from 1 species
UACGGGGGGGGCAAGCGUUGUUCGGAAUUACUGGGCGUAAAGGGCUGGUAGGCGGCCAACUAAGUCGGACGUGAAAUCCCUCAGCUUAACUGGGGAACUGCGUCCGAUACUGGAUGGCUCGAGUUUGGGAGAGGGAUGCGGAAUUCCAGGUGUAGCGGUGAAAUGCGUAGAUAUCUGGAGGAACACCGGUGGCGAAGGCGGCAUCCUGGACCAACACUGACACUGAGGAGCGAAAGCCAGGGGAGCAAACGGG